GCAGGAACUGGAACAUUUCCAGAACAAGUCAUGCCACUCCCAACCCAGGGGUUCAGCUGUUAAUCUGAAGGAGAAUAUUUCCUGGCAAUAAGGAGGAGUCAUGAAGAGGCUAGUGGGCCCUGUGCUGGGGCUUCUGUUGGCCCAGGUUUGCUGUGUGAGAGGAGUGGAUGUGAUGCAGAGCCCCCCAGCCCUGAGUGUCCAGGAGGGAGCCAGCCCCACGCUCUGGUGCAAUUUUUCCAUGAAUGUGAACAGUGUGCAGUGGCAUCUUCAGUACCGAGGUGGCAGCCUGGUCCACUUAUUCUUCAUUCCUUCGGGGACCAAGCGGAAUGGAAGAUUAAACGCCACGACAGUCGCUACAGAACGCCGCAGCUCGCUGUACAUUUCCUCUGCCCAGAUCACAGACUCAGCCACGUACUUCUGUGCUGGGGAGCACAGCGCUCCACAGGCACCUGCAGCCUGUACAGGAACCCUCCGCAGGGCUCAGCCCCUCCUCCAGCCACAGUCACACCACGGGGCCACUACAGGGCAUUCACAUUGCUCAUUAUUCCUCACCUACACUGGUACAGUUUUAGCCACUGACACUUAGCCCUAGGGAUUUGGGACUUUGGUCUUUUACUUCCUUCUCAAACUGAAUCUCCUUCUGCUCUAGAAACUUCUAACUUGGAACUAGCAGAGUAGCUGGAAAGAGAACAGAACGAAAGUGAAUAUUUAACCACAAUAUGCUGGACUCCAAAAUGGUAAAAAGUGAAAGAGAAAAGAA